UUGAGGCAACAAGCAGCCAGCUGAGUCCUCUGCAUAGAGGUCGCAUAUCAGUCUUGCAGCUAGACAAGCCUGUCAUUUAAAGGCCACCCUGGCUGCUGUUUAAGAACUUGACUGUAAAGGAAAGAGUAGAAUCCGGGAGCCUGGUGGAAGCCAUUGCAGGAGCGAGUGAGGAUGGAGUGAACUGGAAUGCAGUAGUGGAGACACAGUGAAGCAAGCUUGGGAGAGGGAAUGAAGAAGAGAGAAGGUGAUGAUUAUGAGAUUUUAUGAAGAAGAAUAUGGAAGGUAAUAUAGCCCAGCUGGCCAACUAUAUGAAGACGUUGUUUUCCAGGAACUCUACUACUG
rnacentral:lncRNA from 10 species